rnacentral:rRNA from 1 species
UAGCCCGGCGAAAGCCGGAUUAAUACCGCAUACGCCCUACGGGGGAAAGGGGGGGAUCGCAAGACCUCUCACUAUUGGAGCGGCCGAUGGCUGAUUAGCUAGUUGGUGGGGUAAAGGCCUACCAAGGCGACGAUCAGUAGCUGGUCUGAGAGGACGACCAGCCACACUGGGACUGAGACACGGCCCAGACUCCUACGGGAGGCAGCAGUGGGGAAUUUUGGACAAUGGGCGAAAGCCUGAUCCAGCAAUGCCGCGUGUGCGAAGAAGGCCUUCGGGUUGUAAAGCACUUUUGUCAGGGAAGAAAUCGUUUGGGUUAAUACCCCGAGCAGUUGACGGUACCUGAAGAAUAAGCACCGGCUAACUACGUGCCAGCAGCCGCGGUAAUACGUAGGGUGCAAGCGUUAAUCGGAAUUACUGGGCGUAAAGCGUGCGCAGGUGGUUUGUUAAGACAGUUGUGAAAUCCCCGGGGCUUAACCUGGGAACUGCAAUUGUGACUGGCAGACUAUAGUGAGGCAGAGGG